UACGUAGGGGGCAAGCGUUGUCCGGAUUUAUUGGGCGUAAAGCGCUCGCAGGUGGUUCGAUGCGUCGUGCGUGAAAGCCCCCGGCUCAACUGGGGAGUGUCGUGCGAUACGGUCGGACUGGAGGCCAGUAGGGGGAUGCGGAAUUCCGGGUGUAGUGGUGGAAUGCGUAGAGAUCCGGAGGAACACCAGCGGCGAAGGCGGCGCUCUGGCUCGCAACUGACGCUCAGACACGACAGCAUGGGGAGCGAACGGG
rnacentral:rRNA from 1 species